CCUACGGGAGGCAGCAGUAGGGAAUCUUCCACAAUGGGCGAAAGCCUGAUGGAGCAACGCCGCGUGGGUGAAGAAGGUCUUCGGAUCGUAAAACCCUGUUGUUAGAGAAGAAAGUGCGUGAGAGUAACUGUUCACGUUUCGACGGUAUCUAACCAGAAAGCCACGGCUAACUACGUGCCAGCAGCCGCGGGAAUACGUAGGUGGCAAGCGUUAUCCGGAUUUAUUGGGCGUAAGGGUAACGCAGGCGGUCUUUUAAGUCUGAUGUGAAAGCCUUCGGCUUAACCGGAGUAGUGCAUUGGAAACUGGGAGACUUGAGUGCAGAAGAGGAGAGUGGAACUCCAUGUGUAGCGGUGAAAUGCGUAGAUAUAUGGAAGAACACCAGUGGCGAAAGCGGCUCUCUGAUCUGUAACUGACGCUGAGGUUCGAAAGCGUGGGUAGCAAACAGGAUUAGAUACCCUUGUAGUC
rnacentral:rRNA from 1 species